rnacentral:rRNA from 1 species
UACGAAGGGUGCAAACGUUUGCUCGGAAUUAUUGGGCGUAAAGCGCACGUAGGCGGCUUGCAAGUUCCAUGUGAAAUCCCACGGCUCAACCGUGGAAGUGCAUGGGAAACUGCAGAGCUUGAGUACUUAAGAGGAUCGCGGAAUUCCCGGUGUAGAGGUGAAAUUCGUAGAUAUCGGGAGGAACACCAGUGGCGAAGGCGGCGAUCUGGGAAGAUACUGACGCUGAGGUGCGAAAGCGUGGGAGCAAACAGG